rnacentral:rRNA from 1 species
GAUGAACGCUGGCGGCGUGCUUAACACAUGCAAGUCGAACGAUCAGGUCCGGCUUGCUGGGUGGUGUAGUGGCGAACGGGUGAGUAACUCGUGAGUAAACUGCCCUUAUCUCUGGGUUAAGUCAGGUCAACUGGGCCUAAUACCUGCCAGGUGCGCCUACGACCUGGUUGGUGUUGGAGAGAUUUAGCGGUUUUGGAUGGACUCGCGGCCAAUCAGCUUGUUGGUGAGUUAUUGGCUCACUAAGGCGACGACGGGUAGCCGACCUGAGACGGUGAACGGCGACAAUAGGACUGAGACACGGCCCAGACGCCUACGGGACGCAGCAGGGGAGAACAUUGCACAAUGGGCGAAAGCCUGAUGCAGCGACGCCGCGUGAGUGAUGACGGGCUUCGGGUUGUAAACCUCUUUCAGUAGGGAAGAAGAGAAAGUGACGGUACCUGCAGAGGAAGCAACGGCUAACUACGUG